UAAGUGUGAAGCCCACCCCAAGAUAAGAUAUCUCAUCUGUAAAAAGAGUAAGACCUCCGGUAGACCACCGGUUAGAUAGGCCACGUGUGUAAGUGCAGCAAUGCAUUCAGCUAAGUGGUACUAAUUGGUCGAGGGCUUGACU
rnacentral:rRNA from 1 species